rnacentral:lncRNA from 1 species
UUUUAAUUCUCAUUUGGUCUUGGUUAUACAAGAUAAAGGUUAAUGGAAUUCUUCCAAGUAGAUUUCAGAAUUUCAAAAGCAUAGGUAUACAUCAUAUUUAUUUCUCACUGCACCCCGGGGAGGUAGCUAUUACAGACAUUUAUAGGAUAUUACUGUAUUAACUAUUAAUAAUAUCUUGAUAUAGAGUUACAUUCAAAAGUAUGAAAAGCCAAUACUGAAUUUCCUCAAAAGUAAAUCAUCAUUAGC